GGGGAUUUUCCACCUCUAAGGCAAACCAAACCAACCAGCCAGAGAUGACUUUGGUUUUACCCCACUGGUUAACCAUAAAUCACACAAGCAAUUCCCUCAGACACUUCAGUUUCCCAGUGUCACCACCAGCGCCACUUGUUAUGGGGACAAAUGGUUAUGAAAACCAACACCCCAGUAAAACAAAAAAAGUUUCUCCUGAUGCCAAAGGACCAAGCCACGGACCCAGACUGUGGCUCCUUUUCAUGAAUUCCCAAGACAACCCCUGGUACCGGAGGGGAGACCAGAGGAGAAGGCAGAGAUAACAGGGCUGUGGGGAACAACAAAGGAUCCAUUCUGGAGAUGGAACAACUGAAACCCCCAAGGAGUUGAAAUUCUUGGGUAGUUCAGCGGACUCCAGGAAGAGAUUUAGGCAGAGUUUUGAGAUAUAUCUACACAAGCGGCUGGGUUUGGGUUAUGAAAAAAACCACACCCCUGACCGACAAAAGUUUCACCAACAACAGCGCCGGUGUGGACAGCCCCACGUUGACAGGAGACGCUCUCCAGCCGACACAGCUCCUGCCGCAAAUGGCCAAUGCCAGGUGCCCCAGAGGGAAUGAACAGAACAGGGAAUCCACAAAUGAUGCAUCCCCUGUGGCCCAGUCCCAGAUUCUGGCAAACAGAGGCUAUGGACACCAUCCUUGCUCAUCCUGGCUAAUAGCCAUUGAUGGAG